AUUUCAUAAUGGUUUGGUUUGUUCGAACGAAGUUCCUUAUGGGACGAUGCGGAGGGGCACCCUAACCGGGAAAAAACGUCCGUAACGUAAGAUUUUUAUUAGUAUUGCACACAGUUUACGACUUAACUUUGUAAUAACUUACAAAAAAUAACAUAUUUCUUUAUCAUUCAUUGACCACGAUCUCAGAGCGUUCGUUUGCGCAAUACACUAACUCUUAUGCAAACAACCGUAAAUGAAGUGCACCACAAUAAGUUCGCACGAUACCGCAUGCAUGACUGUGGGUUGUUGCGAAACCUCCAGUUUUAUUUUCUUUAUUCCUCGAAUAGAACUUAAAAUUAAUAUCUUUAUAAUAAGGAUCUUAUUUCUUAUCCGGUGUCCUACGUCACCACACAUCUUUUUUUAACCCUUUGAAUGUCAUGUAAGUCACCUGUUCCCGACGUGGCGCACUGAAGUUAUUAUGUGCAUUUCGAUUAUAUCGUGAACAUAAUUACUUCUGUGCGCCGCGCAGAAUCUACCACCAGAUCGGAAACACGACCCACUGAGAAGAUCCGGCGAGAAACUCAGUAGGCUGUGUCUAUGCGUUAAUUUACUCGUCGAGCCCUUCGUCGCAAGCGACGGGUUCGACGAGAACGAUGAUCGGUGCUUGAGGUAUCUAAAAGCACCGUUAGUGGAUCGGGAAGAUCCGUAAUGACGUGUAAGAUUUACGGCCGUUUUCAAUAACCUAUCUAUCCCUAGUUUCGGUUACUAAAGAUAGACAAAUCUAUAUUUUUGUCCUUACUUACGUUCCAAUAACCUAUCGAUGGGCAGCAGUUCCUAUCGGAUUUAUCUAUCCAUCGUCGGGAGGACGGAUAGCCUGCUAAAGAUAGAACGCUCAUACAAAUCGUGCUUACUUCCGUUUCAAUAUGAGUUUUAAGUAACUCUCCGGUAGGCGGCGCUAUCUCUAGUAUGGGCAUUCGCUUAUCUGUCAAAAUCGGCCGGUUACAUGUUUAUCUUUCGAAAGUAAAUCGCUAUAAUUUAAUAAUUGUUUCUCUUCAUAUUGGCAUAUUGUAGCAGUGAUGAUAGUGAUAUGGAAUUAUUUCAAAUGAUAAUGGAUUGUGAUGCAGAUAGUGAUAGUGAGGCCGAUAUCAUAUGGUUAGGAAAAUAAAGAUCGUCUGAAUUACAUGGCGAAGAUCAAUAAUUACGAAUUUGACUACAGAUUUCUGAGCAAAGGUGUUGUGAAUGAAUUGAUUAAUUUAAUGAGACCAUAUUUGAGUGUAACGUCAAAAAGAUUCAAAUAUAGGAGAGGAAUUUAGAAAUAGAAAAAGAGUAUUUUGAAUGUGUAAUUUGUGUGCAAUGCAUCAUUGAUGUUUCAAAAUGUUGUUGCUUGAUGGCCUGGGUCUACUCAUGAUACAACUAUAAUUAACCAUUCCGAUUGAAAAGAUGCAUUGGUGUUUGUGAAAGAAGACUCCCUGUAUAUCAUUGAAAAGUAGAUUAAAACUAGAAAAUAUGCAAGCUGUUAUUAUAGCUGCCAUGCUGCAUAAUAUCGUCAGAAGUAUGAAUUUAGAAGAAUUAGAAUCAGAAAUUUCAGUCGCAGAUACAUUACAGGAAAAUAAUAUAAUUGUUCGUAACAAUUUUUCAAAACUUACAUCUGAAAUACAACUAUGUACUCAUAAAUAAUUGCUUCCAAAGAUAAUUUAUAAAAUAAACUCCAAAGAUAA